rnacentral:sRNA from 4 species
CAGGCCGGUCUUCUGACUUGGCGUCAUCCGUCUGCCGCAGCCUUCCCGGCAAAAGCCAGUGGCAUAUGAAGCGGCAGGCGUCGGCCUUACAGCGUUGGGCACGUUCCGGUCUUGCACCGGAUUCCCGAUUCUCCCGC